UACGGAGGGGGCAAGCGUUGUCCGGAAUCAUUGGGCGUAAAGCGCGUGUAGGCGGCCCGGUAAGUCCGCUGUGAAAGUCGGGGGCUCAACCCUCGAAUGCCGGUGGAUACUGUCGGGCUAGAGUGCGGGAGAGGCGAGUGGAAUUCCUGGUGAUAGCGGUGAAAUGCGCAGAUAUCAGGAGGAACACCAAUUGCGAAGGCAGCUCGCUGGGACGUUACUGACGACUGGAGAACGCGAAAGCGUGGGGAGCAAACAGG
rnacentral:rRNA from 1 species